AUGACGAAAUACUGUGACGAAAGUUUUCAGAAUGCGUGUAUCAAUGACGUAAAAAUGAAGUAUAACGAUUACUGUACAUUGCUCUGCCAGCCGCCUAGCCAGAAAGAGGGAAGAUUGUACCAAUUGCACAUUGCAAAUUUCCAAGUCAAAAUAUGUUCGGCUGGAUUCGGAAAUCUCUGGUUCAAUCCGGUUUAAUUAGUCCAUUGGCCCAGCUUAUCUGGAGAAGUCACGCAGAACCAGAACCACGACCCACCGCAAGCGCUCCUGCCCAGCCACAGAUGAGGGUGCGUAGGCCACGGAGGCAAUAUACGGCCGACCAGCUACGCAUCCUGAACACCGAGUUCGAAAUUAAUAAGUAUCCUAGGCUGGCAAGGAGGAAAUAUCUCGAGCGCGCGACCGGACUGCCAGCAGCCACGGUCCGGGUGUGGUUCUGCAAUCGCAGAGGGAGAUGGUGGCGGCGGAGAAAAGCGAACUUCACCCGGUGGAGAAGGACAGCUUCCUCUCGGAGGAGACGGGCUCCGUCCUGCCGGAGGAGAAGGGUUACCUCCACCCGAAGAAAAGCCUCCACCGCCAGAGGAAAUUUUUCCCUGGAAGCUUCUAUUAAAAUAAGAGGGCAGCUUUAACAACCAAUUGCCGUACUGGAUGCCUUGGACCUGUCCUGUGACCGGUGACCCAUGACCCACGAUCUGAGCAGAAACUGUGUCUCCGUUUUUCGAGGCUGUUCCCCAGAGUACAUCCCGCUGGGUCCUCGUUGAAGAACCAUGUGGUCACCAUAGAGGCCGCCUUGCACGUGUCCAAUUACCAUGGCGACAACAUGGUCCUGCAACGGGGUCCCCAGCGAGCCAUCCUCAGUGGAACAGCGACUAAAGAGGGCGACAAAGUCACUGCCCAGAUCGUGGGUCAUGGGUCACCGGUCACAGGUUCACAGCGGCAAGUGGAAGGUGAAGCUGCCCGCUUCAGGGAAGGCGAGCCACAUGUACCUUUGCUGGUCGAGGUACUUAAAGGUGCUAAGACACACACCUGUAAACAACAGUUGCAGCCUUCCACUGUCAGUCCAAUAGGAGGUUCUUCUUCCACUGCUGAAAGAGAUUUUAACAGUCUUCAAAAG